rnacentral:sRNA from 1 species
UGGCCCCUUUGAAACUUUGGCCAUGAACAAAUCAAUU